CCUCGAAUCUUCGAUUAGGGCUUUUCUCCGAAGAAUAAUGAACUUCUCUUCGAUGCCGUACCUCCGCCGCCGCGUCCGCCAUUGCCGCUAAUGCCGAGCCGACAUCUCCGUUGCUAUUUCUUCCCUCAUGAUCGAACUAUUUGACAUUAUUUUUGGAUGAUAAUGAUUCAUAUUAUUAGCAGUUAAGGUAAUAUGUGACCAUUAAGUGGAAAAUCAAGAGGAUACAAAUUUGUGCAUUACUCUUCUGAGAUGAUGGGUUGCCAAGUAUGCUUGAUUAUUCAGAUUUUAGAUUCAUUUUUUCUUCAUCAACUUCAUUAGAUUUCUCUAUGAUGGGUUGCCAAGUAUGCUUGACUAUUUAUCUGUGUUGUUUGUUUUUUGUAGUUGCUGGAUGGCAAAAAUUUAGGCGUUUUUUAUGGCCACGAAGAGCGAAAGCAAUUAAGUCGGGUCUAACACUAGCUUUUGAUGUUAUUAUGUUCAUUAUAUAAACUCUAUUUCCUACUUGUCAUCGUUACUCAUUUGCACGGUUUAUAAAAAUUAAAUUUCAAUUGCUUCGUCAAUUUUGUUCCAUUUUCCACAUGUAUCCGGAUGUUUUUACAUACAAUGGUCUAAUUAUAGCACAUGGUAUAGUACGGUGACUUCUCCUUUUUAAGAAUCCCUUUUCUGUCUCCUUUUUUGUCUUUAAUUUUAAUUGUAAAUAAUCAGUUUUCAGACAUUUUGCUGAAUGGCCUACUAUAGUUGCUGCAAAUUAUAAAUGGUUGGGUUGAUUAUACCCUUCAAAAUGAUUAAACUCAUUCUACAUACCUUUAUUAUGUGCCCUUGUUCAGUUCUUGGAAUGAGUUAAUUUUAUUCAGCCUUGCUACCGAAUUUCAAAGUUUUAAUGUCGACUGCUACUUUAUCACUGACAACUAUAUCAUGAACUUUACAGAUUAGGGGAUUAAGAUCAAAGAUUGGCAGCAAUAAAGGGCCUGUUCUAUUGUAUCGAAAUGUUCUGUUUCACCUAGUAAAGUUGUUGGAUUGCUAGUGACAUAUAUGCUUAUAUCCAGGUAUCCGUUCUUGCUAAACUCAUUCACGGUAAAAAUAGCAUAUAUUAUUUCGUUGGUGUUUUUAUCCAUAGUACAAGCUGUAGCUUUUACGGUAUAAUGCAAGCGCAAGUUCUUGAAUUGCAGCUCACUGGUUUCUCUUAUUUUGUAGGUUAGGUUAGCAUCGUAAUUGUGGAUUAGCAUUGUAAUUGUGGGUUGCAACAUUCUUCGCCGAUAUAUCAGAAAAACUACAGCGGAAGCCUGACAAGUACCUAAGCCAUGGAAUAGAUGAUUGGAAAAGUGUAAAUUAACUUUAUGUUGUAGAUAUAUCUAAUUUUAAACCAGUGGAUAAAUAACAAGUU
rnacentral:lncRNA from 1 species